AACGAACGCUGGCGGCGUGGAUAAGACAUGCAAGUCGAACGGGACAGACCGAGUAGCAAUAUUUGGAAUGUUCAGUGGCGAACGGGUGCGUAACACGUGGAUAACAUUCCGGAAAGCGGGGAAUAGCCCAGGGAAACUUGGAUUAAUACCGCAUGUGGCCGCAAGGCUAAAGACGGGGACCGCAAGGCCUGUCACUUUCCGAUUGGUCCGCGGCCAAUCAGCUAGUUGGCGGGGUAAUGGCCCACCAAGGCUACGACGGGUAGCUGGUCUUAGAGGACGACCAGCCACACUGGAACUGAGACACGGUCCAGACACCUACGGGUGGCAGCAGUCGAGAAUCUUUCACAAUGGGGGCGACCCUGAUGGAGCGACGCCGCGUGGAGGAUAAGGUCUUCGGAUUGUAAACUCCUGUCAUGCGAGAACAAGGUACUCAGGCUAAUAACCUGAUUGUUUGAUGGUACCGCAAGAGGAAGAGACGGCUAACUCUGUGCCAGCCGCCGCGGUAAGAC
rnacentral:rRNA from 1 species